UUUGAGAAGAGCUUUAUUAACCAGACUUAACCUGGGAAGUAGAACAGAAAAUGAUUACUAGCUAACAAGCUUUCACCUUGGCUUUUCUUAGUGUUAAGCAGAAUAGUAUUCACCAGUUAUUAAUUCCAGGGAGGAAUCUAGACACUGUGCCCACUGCAUCUUGGUACUGGAGUUGCCAAGAAACACACCACAUGAUAAAACAGUUCAUUACUGUUCUUUUUGAAUUGUUCUUGGGGAAGUUACUUAACCUUUCUAGCACAGGCCUUUCUUCAGGGCCUGUGCCCUACCAAGCAUGGAAAUUAAAAAAAAAAAAAAAAAAAAAAAAUCUUGAGUUCCUUCAAGGGAAAUUCCAGGCACCUAGCUAGCCUUGAAAUUGAAAAGAAACAAUCUGAUAAGCAACAACAUAGUAGCAACAGUUUCUCAAGGUAUUUUGGUUUUCUACGAAAACUGAAAGAUCACAUCUUAAUAUAUGUUUUUGAGUUGUAUUUCAGAAACCCCCACUAGAUGGAAAAAGUUGACCCAAUGUAACAUUAGAAUAGAUAAGAGAGAAUUGAGGACUGAGCUCUGACUCUUCUUUCUUCUACAUUUCUUUCUGAGGGGCCAGGAGAAAGUAACACAAACCAAACCAAUGAAUAACCUCUACAUUUUAGUUUAUAAUUUUGUCUACAACUUCUGCUGUCUUGAAAUAUACUUUUGCCUUCAAAAACCAUUAUUGCUUGUAAGCCAAUGGGUGUAAAAAGAGAAUCAGGCACUGGAGAAGUGGCCCCACAGAAUAUGAAUUAAGGAAGGGAGAUAGUGAGGCAAGCCCUAAAAUUAGCCUAGGUCUGCCAGAGGCCUUUUACCUUAUUAUGUGGAUCUGGUUGAUGCAUAAGGUUAGUAACAGCUGUUCGUUUGUUGCGUGAUUCAACCUCCAGGCUUGACCUUCCCUUUAACAUAAAGUGGGGGGAUGUCAUGACUUUAUUUUCUGUCUGAGGAGAUUUUAUAUUUAUUUAUUUAUUUAUUUGUUUUUUUGAGACAGGGUCUUGCUAUGUCGCCUUUGGUAGAGCGUCACAGCUCACAGCACCACAAACUCUUGGGCUUAAGCGAUUCUCUUGCCUCAGCCUCCCCAGUAGCUUGGACUAUAGGCGCCUGCCACAAAGCCCAGCUAUUUCUGUUGUUACUGAUGUCGUUGUUUAGCAGGCCCAGGCUGAGUUCAAACCCACCAGCCCCGGCAUAUGUGGCCAGCAUCUCUAACUGCUGAGCUAUAUAGGUACCAACCCUCUGAGAUUUUAAACUUACUGAAUUUCUCAUAUUAGCUAAAAUAUUCUUAAAGAAUAUGGUCAAAGGAAUUGAUCCUGUUGCCCUAACCAGACAGCAUGAUUUUUUAUGAAGUUAUAAUGAUGGUACUGUGGUACCAGCAUAGAGAUAAAAGAAAUGACAGAGGAAAUAGAUAGUUCAGAAACACUCAUACUUUAAACACAGAGAAACCCAACAGAUAAAGACUGGUGGAGAUUGGUAAAGGAGAGUGGUGCUUGAGUGAGUGAUUAUCCACAGGGGGAGAUAUUAGACUCUUAUCUUACAUCUUGUACAUAGACACAAAUUUUUUAAUAAUUAAAACACUUAAAUGCAAAAGCAAAACUUAACAAUUACAAACAAGCAAAUUUUACAGUGGAGGGAAAUGAAUGGCAAACCUGAAAGAUUACUGACCUAGUGAGAGGUCAGGAAAAUGCAAGUUAAAACUCUGAGAUACCAUUUUUUUAUGCUAGACUGACAAAAAUACUGUCCAAGUAGAUACGCUCAAGACUAUAAGGCCAUUUUGGAAAGUAAUUUGGCAUUAUUUUGCAGUUAAAAACGACAAACCCUAUGACCUGAGAGGUCCACACCUAUGCAUAAAAUCUCUUGCAUAUGUGUAGCAGGGCAUACUCAAGAAUGUUUAUGGUGGUACUGUUUCUAUCAACAAAAAUUAAAAACCAAUGUCAACUGACAGGAAAAUGAAUACUUAAAAUUGUGGUACACUUACACAGAAUACUAGUUUACAGGAACUAAACCAUACACAUAAGCACAAGAAUAAAUUUUACACAAACUCAGAAAAACAAGUUGAAUAAAACAUUGCAUUAAAGUACUAUAUGUACAAAGCUUUAAAAGUACAAAGUGAAACAUUAUGUUCAGAUAAUAUUUAUUUGUGAUAAAAAAAAUAAAAGGUGGAGAACAGAAAGACAAGGAGAGAAAAUAGAAAGGAACAUACAUGAAUAUGUAAUUGACAACUUUUUUUUUUUUUUUUUUUUGUAGAGACAGAGUCUUACUUUAUGGCCUUUGGCAGAGGGCCGUGGCC